rnacentral:rRNA from 1 species
CCUACGGGUGGCAGCAGUGAGGAAUAUUGGUCAAUGGACGAAAGUCUGAACCAGCCAAGUAGCGUGAAGGAUGACUGCCCUAUGGGUUGUAAACUUCUUUUAUAUGGGAAUAAAACAGGGUAUGCAUCCCCUCUUGUAUGUACCUUAUGAAUAAGGAUCGUCUAACUACGUGCCAGCAGCCGCGGUAAUACGGAGGUUGCGAGCGUUAUCCGGAUUUAUUGGGUUUAAAGGGAGCGUAGUCGGGUCUGCAAGUCAGAUGUGAAAGUCACGGGCUCAACCGUUGGAUUGCAUUUGAAACUGGAGGUCUUGAGUACAGGUGAGGCAGACGGAAUUCGUGGUGUAGCGGUGAAAUGCGUAGAGAUUAGGAAGAACACCAGUGGCGAAGGCAGCUUACUAGACAGCAACUGACGCUGAUGCGCGAAAGCGUGGGGAUCAAACAGGAUUAGAUACCCCUGUAGUC